AAAAAAAGUGAUCUUUAGCACAAGCGAUGGCCAAAGUUGAGAAAUUUAAGCCCCAUCCUGUCGUGGAAAUGGAUUAACGUGUGCUGGCCAAGUACUGCGAGAGUGUGAGACCAUCUCUCGUUUGGGGGAGAGAGAGAGAGAGAGAGAGAGAGAGAGAGAGAGAGAGAGAGAACGAGAGCUUUUCCUUGUUCUUUCCUUCUAUGCGAACUCUGAGCGUGAAAUCUAUUUCGAGUUUCAUCUGAGCUGUUGAAUGGUCAUUCUUGUGGAUUGAGGGCAAGUAGUAUUGUACUUGUAUUCGUGGGAAAUGCCAAGAAAAUAGCAGAGGCAUUCCUGUGUUUUAAUAAAUGAAGUGAUUCUCAUGCG